GAGGCGGUCUUGAAAACCGUUUGUCCGCAAGGGCGCGUGGGUUCGAGUCCCACCCUCU
rnacentral:tRNA from 1 species